rnacentral:SRP_RNA from 1 species
CUUAGGUCCUCCCGCAACGCUAAACUGCGAACCCCGCCAGGCCCGGAAGGGAGCAACGGUAGUGGUGGCUGCGUGUGCCGGGAUGUG